rnacentral:sRNA from 1 species
AACGCUUCUGCUAACAAAAUUAUACGUAAAAAUUUCGUAGUUAUCAUUUUCUUUUUUUAAAUAAUAUUAAAAUUAUAAAAUGGAUUACACUUGGGCGGUUACAUUGCUGUUGGGUUGCGUAUUGGGCUUUGUAGUCGGUCUCCAUUCGUAAACCGCAAAGAGAACAUGCUUUGAGACGUCACGUUCCAAGCAACCCCAAGGAAUCAGAUCAGUAUAAAGUAGUGUUCCGUGAGUAUCGUAUCGUUCUCUACACAACCUAUUUUUUUUUUUGGAUUUUCUAAAUUUUUGGAUUUGUAAAGGUAAUUCAAGUAGAUAGGGGUAUAUAAACAGAAAAGAAAAUGAAGUUGGAUUGGCUAGUCACUCUGCUGGUGGGCUGCAUUCUUGGUUAUUUAAUUGGCGUUCAAUGUUGAGCUUCCAGCAAGUCGAGAAACUAGAUGAAAAAUUGACAUGAGCCACUAGAUCUUCAUGAUGAGUCACAUUAUAUCAUAUGGCCUGGGUUUAAUAACGGGCUUGAUGCUGUGCAAACGUUGUGGUCCACCCUAACCAGGUUACAAAAUUACCGAUUGAAGAAACUAAAUCAUUUCCUAUCAAGACAUAUAAAUCAAAUAUGUACAAACUAGAUAAAGUGCAAUAAUAUUAGAAAUAUGUAGUAUAUAAGCAAUAAAUAAUGAUCAAAUAUUGA